rnacentral:rRNA from 1 species
GCAUCUAAGCGGGAAGCGAGCCCUAAGAUGAGGUAUCCCUGGACUUCGGUCCCUAAAGGCCACUUGUAGACUACGAGUUUGAUAGGCUGGGUGUGGAAGUGUGGCAACACAUGUAGCUGACCAGUACUAAUCGGCCGUGAGGCUUGACCUAU